rnacentral:lncRNA from 1 species
CUGCAGCGCAGACUUCUCCCUGGUCUUCUAGGGCCUUGCUUGAGACGGGGUCUCGCUGUGCAGCCUGGGCUGGCCUUGAACUCACGGCAAUCCUCCUGCCUGAGCCUCCUCAGUCCACCACUACACCAGCUUCUCCAGGAUCUUUAAUACUUUUUAAAGCUUCGUUUUUAUUCGCUGAACUACUGAAGCACUCCCUGCACUAAGCGCUGACAACAUAAAUCAGAGGACAGAGUACUCGGCCAUGGGGACCCUCG